rnacentral:rRNA from 1 species
UCAGUGAAAUUGAACUCGCUGUGAAGAUGCAGUGUACCCGCGGCAAGACGGAAAGACCCCGUGAACCUUUACUAUAGCUUGACACUGAACAUUGAGCCUUGAUGUGUAGGAUAGGUGGGAGGCUUUGAAGUGUGGACGCCAGUCUGCAUGGAGCCGACCUUGAAAUACCACCCUUUAAUGUUUGAUGUUCUAACGUUGGCCCCUGAUCGGGGUUGCGGACAGUGUCUGGUGGGUAGUUUGACUGGGGCGGUCUCCUCCUAAAGAGUAACGGAGGAGCACGAAGGUUGGCUAAUCCUGGUCGGACAUCAGGAGGUUAGUGCAAUGGCAUAAGCCAGCUUGACUGCGAGCGUGACGGCGCGAGCAGGUGCGAAAGCAGGUCAUAGUGAUCCGGUGGUUCUGAAUGGAAGGGCCAUCGCUCAACGGAUAAAAGGUACUCCGGGGAUAACAGGCUGAUACCGCCCAAGAGUUCAUAUCGACGGCGGUGUUUGGCACCUCGAUGUCGGCUCAUCACAUCCUGGGGCUGAAGUAGGUCCCAAGGGUAUGGCUGUUCGCCAUUUAAAGUGGUACGCGAGCUGGGUUUAGAACGUCGUGAGACAGUUCGGUCCCUAUCUGCCGUGGGCGCUGGAGAACUGAGGGGGGCUGCUCCUAGUACGAGAGGACCGGAGUGGACGCAUCACUGGUGUUCGGGUUGUCAUGCCAAUGGCACUGCCCGGUAGCUAAAUGCGGAAGAGAUAAGUGCUGAAAGCAUCUAAGCACGAAACUUGCCCCGA